GGGGAUGUAGCUCAGUUGGCUAGAGCGCUUGACUGGCAGUCAAGAGGUCGUGAGUUCGAGUCUCAUCUUCUCCA
rnacentral:tRNA from 1 species